rnacentral:rRNA from 1 species
GACGUAGGGCGCGAGCGUUGUCCGGAUUUAUUGGGCGUAAAGAGCUCGUAGGCGGCUUGUCGCGUCGACUGUGAAAUCCCGCGGCUCAACUGCGGGUCUGCAGUCGAUACGGGCAGGCUAGAGUUCGGUAGGGGAGACUGGAAUUCCUGGUGUAGCGGUGAAAUGCGCAGAUAUCAGGAAGAACACCGGUGGCGAAGGCGGCUCUCUGGGCCUUACCUGACGCUGAGGAGCGAAAGCGUGGGUAGCGAACGGG